AUUUUUUAUGCCCCACCUACGAUAGUAGAGGGGCAUUAUGUUUUCUGGUCUGUGCCUCCGUCCGUCCUUGCGUCCGUUCGCUUCAGGUUAAAGUUUUUGGUCAAGGUAGUUUUUGAAGAAGUUUAAGUCCAAUCAACUUGAAACUUAGUACACAUGUUCCCCAUGAUAUGAUCUUUCUAAUUUUAAUGCCAAAUUAUAGUUUUGACCCCAAUUUCAUGGUCCACUGAACAUAGAAAAUGAUAGUGCGAAGUUCAGGUUAAAGUUUUUGGUCAAGGUAGUUUUUGAUGAAGUUAAAGUUACACCAACUUUAAACUAAGUACACAUGUUCCCUAUGAUAUGAUCUUUCUAAUUUUAAUUCGAAAUUAAAGUUUUGACCCCAAUUUCACGGUCCACUGAACAUAGAAAAUGAUAGUGCGAGUGGGGCAUCCGUUUACUAUGGACAAAUUCUUGUUUGUUUAUUUUUAUGCCCCACCUACGAUAGUAGAGGGGCAUUAUGUUUUCUGGUCUGUGCCUCUGUUCGUCCGUCCGCUUCAGGUUAAAGUUUUUGGUCAAGGUAGUUUUUGAAGAAGUUGAAGUCCAAUCAACUUGAAACUUAGUACACUUGUUCCCCAUGAUAUGAUCUUUCUAAUUUUAAUGCCAAAUUAUAGUUUUGACCCCAAUUCAUGGUCCACUGAACAUAGAAAAU
rnacentral:lncRNA from 1 species